rnacentral:lncRNA from 1 species
UUUCCUAAAGGAUAUAGAUUUCUCUCUUCUUUGGCUCCAAUAAUUUGUGCCCAAACUUCAGACCAGUAAUUCCCCAGAUGAGCCUGCUGCUACCCUACUUGCGUCUUACUUUUGCAAGCUGUUUCCAUUCUUAUUAGGCUAAUAACUGAAGACAGGAUCAAGAUAUCUUUCUAACCUAUCCAAAAUACCUGAAUAUUCUGUCACAUUCAACAGUUUACAGUGAAGAAGAAGAAUCAAGUGUACAUCCCAAUCUGAAUUACUGCAUUCAAAGAAAAAUUACCACUGCUAGCCACUCUACAAGAAUAGCACAGCCCUGGUAGAACUUUUAAAGUAACAGGAGAAAGGAAGAGAAGAAAGGAUAAAAAGGAAAAAGAAGAAAAAGGAAAAAGAGAACAAGAAAGUCACCUAACUUGAAGACUUGGUGACCAAAACUCAUCCAGCAAAGAUAAAUAACAAAGAACAAUAUUGCUGAUUAAUCUCUUCCUAGGAUGUACAAAGAGAAAACACAAGGAAAAACAAGUUGUAUUAAUAGACAUACAGUAGCCAUAAUAAAGAAGAUAAACGUUCCCCCAUCUUCUAUAACCUAAAUGAGAAAGGAAUUGGUGAUGGUUAGCCUGGAGAAAGAAGGGAUUGGUGGAAGCACGGUGACAUUAGAACGCAUCAUAAACAUAUCUGUAGCAUGGGACAAUUGACCUGCCUAGAAGACGACUGGGCCAGGAGCAUGACAUAAUUUCAAGUCAGUUGAAGAAAAUAGAAAAGGAACUGCUGAGUAGACGUACUGGUCCAAGAACAGUGAAAGACAUGUAAAGCAGAUGUAACCCCAAACAACAGCUGAAGAAGAGUUGCCCAACUCCGCCAGCCUAGAUCAAACUGCAGUCAAAUGUACACCCUUGAGCAUGGGAAUAAAUUCAUGUUUUUGUAAAUCAUGAA